rnacentral:piRNA from 1 species
UGGCUUGAUUCUUUGUAGUAA